UCCUCUUAGUCUGGAUAGUCACAUUGUGAACCUUGGUAUUUCACUGAGAAACCUUCUUAGGUGUCCUCUCCCCAGACAGCCCUCCUUGACCACCCAUAUAGAGGAACACCCUGUCAUUCUCAAAACGCUUAUUUUGUUUCAUUUUUCUUUAUAGAAUGUGUCUCUACCAAACAUGUUGUAUAUUCAUUUCUUUGUUUAUUGUCUUUCUCCCACAUUAGGAAAUGGGAGGCUUUAUCUGUCUCGUUUACCACUGCAACCCUGGCACCAAAUGCAAUGCCUGAUAUAUACCAACCUCCGUCUUGUGAGCAGCCCUGUGAGAGACCCAGGUGGUGGGGAGCUCAAGUCUCUGGCCAACAGCCUGCAAGGAGCUGAAGCUUGUCAAUACAUGAGCUUGAAGGCACAUCACAGACGCUUGUGCUUAGGAGCACCAGACAGCACUGCGGCACCAUGCCUGGGGACAUUUCAAACAGUGAAAUCACCAAAAAAGAUGAGAAAGAUGAGGUACUAAACAGACUGCAGAAAGGACGCUUGUUUACAUUAUGAGAGCCCAAGGAAGAAGGCAGCGCGUCGACUUGUUCAGCCUCAGCUGGAAACAGGUGUGCUGGGGACUCUGAUUUUUUGGCAUGCUGCACGUGUCCUCAAAUAAAUGCACAACUGCUGUGGAUAUUGAUUUUAGGGUUACAAAUAAAUUUUAUCAAGUAGGUGAAUUCUCAAAUAUGGAAUCCGUGAAUAAUGAGGAUCGACUGUAUUUUCAUAAAAAACAUGAAUUUAAUUAUGUAAAAAACAAAAGAGUUGAAACAAAUUUCAGAUAUAUUUUAAACAAGGUAU